rnacentral:tRNA from 1 species
CGGGGUGUAGCGUAGCCCGGUUAUCGCGCCUGGUUUGGGACCAGGAGGUCGCAGGUUCGAAUCCUGCCACNUGUU